AAUGAACGCUGGCGGCAUGCCUAACACAUGCAAGUCGAACGGCAGCACGGGGGCUUGCGCCUGGUGGCGAGUGGGGGAGGGGUGAGUAAUACAUAGGCACAGGAUCCGUCGUGGGGGGGGGUGCGGAGAAAGGCGGAUUAAUACCGCCCACGAAUUUCGGAUGAAAGGGGGGGCCCGCGUGGGCUUGGGCUAUAGGGAUGGUCGAUGGCUGAUUAGCUAGUUGGUGGGGUAAAGGCCUACCAAGGCGACGAUCCGUAGCUGGUCUGAGAGGGGGACCAGCCACACUGGGACUGAGACACGGUCCAGACUCCUACGGGAGGCAGCAGUGGGGAAUUUUGGACAAUGGGCGAAAGCCUGAUCCAGCAAUGCCGCGUGGGUGAAGAAGGCCUUCGGGUUGUAAAGCACUUUUGUUCGGAAAGAAAUCCUUUGCCCUAAUACGGUCGGGGGUUGACGGUACCCGAAGAGUAAGCACCGGCUAACUACGUG
rnacentral:rRNA from 1 species